rnacentral:rRNA from 1 species
GACGAACCGAGCGAACGUUGUUCGGAAUCACUGGGCUUAAAGGGCGCGUAGGCGGGCUGCCAAGUUUGGGGUGAAAUCCUCCGGCUCAACCGGAGCAGCGCCUCGAAUACUGGCGGUCUCGAGGGAGGUAGGGGCGUGCGGAACUGUGGGUGGAGCGGUGAAAUGCGUUGAUAUCGGAAGGAACGCCGGUGGCGAAAGCGCAUCACUGGACCUCUUCUGACGCUGAGGCGCGAAAGCCAGGGGAGCGAACAGG